rnacentral:lncRNA from 1 species
GCUUGGGUUAAAAAAAGCACUGUACUGUUCUUUUUGGGAUUUGCUUCCUGUAUUACAGUUAUACAUGCAAUCUACAUCUGAAGUCGUGACCUACACAGGAUGUGCUUCUUAAGUAAGAACAUAAGGGGUCGCAUGGUGUGGAGGAUCGGGCGUUCCCACCAAACUGCAUCAACUGUGGGAUGCUUAGAACAGGCGUAUCGUGAUUAUGUCCUCCAUCACUAUGACACGUGACACGGGGACCGGGCUGUAAGAACGUGCGUCUUUUACAAGAAGCGCACAGGAUCCUGCUUCCCUCCGUCUGCUAAUUAAUUGCGCGACUCGACUGGUCUCGGACAGGCAGCCAAGCAGUCGCACCCGUACAGACACAGACACAAACACAGACACAAACACAGACACAAACAGACAUUCCAUCUCUGGAAGAAACUCACUUCUGGCACAGGGAACAGGGACUGUUUCACCAAGGACAUGUGCAGUCAACCACUGUGGUGAAGUGCUACUCUCCUCCGACCUGCAAUGGCUUUAACUAUGACUCGCACGUUAACUCCUGCUGCAGUAACCAGAUUUACAAGGGCACUGGGCUGUGCUGCUGUGGAAAAAGUUCCUACAAUGCCAUCCAGGACACUUGCUGUAAUGGCAACCUCACCAGGGGUCUAAGUGAGCUGGUGUCGCUUUGCUGUGGUUCAGUGGCAUAUAACCCCCUGAAUGAGAUAUGCUGCAGAUCUUAUGUUUACCCUCGACAGGCCCAUUCAGGUUGCUGUGGGAAAGGUGGGAGAACAUAUCUGUAUAGCAGGUUGAAGUAAAACAGUGAAAUGGUCCCCCUCCUAAUGGCAC